rnacentral:lncRNA from 1 species
GUUUACCUCCAGAUUCAUUACUUUAAAUUUGGUCAAAGGCUUUUGUCUGAGCUUUUAUCUGUUCUUGCUGAGCAGAUUUUGGGAAAUAAAUAAUGCCUAUUUCUCUUCUGGGGCCGACUUCUGUGUUUCACAGUCAGGAUGAUGUAGGAAGCUACUGUUGCACUGAGCAGAAAUACAUGGGUUCUGAGAGCAACUUUAUUCCUAAGUGAUCCUAUUACAUCCCUUUUCAUGCAGUCUAGAAGUUAUAAUUUUCUGUUAGUCUAGCCAGUUGAAAAGAUUAAAUGCAUUAAUUGAUCUUAGUUGCUUUGAUUGUAUUCAUUACUAAUACUUUCCACAGACAUACUCUGUAAUGCUUCAUUGGGAAGUAUUUUCUCCAAACAAACUACAGCCAGAACCCUGGGAGCAAGAAUUGCACCUUGCACAUAUUUAUUUAUGAAGCCUCAAACACAGUGCUGCAGCAUGGAGGGAGAGCUGAGGAACACCUGCUGGCAAUGUGUGAUAUUCUUCCAGUAUUGAGAAACCCCUUAGCAUUCACACAAUCCCAACUUUUGGCAAGUUCCUUGUGGUGCUGGGCUUUCCACGCUGCCGAGGUGUGGCCUUGCCCGGAUCAGCAGGAUGGGCACCAUUGUUUCUCCUCAGGCAGGAGGGAUCUGGGCAGCGGAGCCGCGUGCUGGGGGCGGGAAACAAGUGGCCACCGUCAGAGUUAGCUCUCAGGCGCAUGUUACAAUUACUGACUGCAUGUUGAAGAAUUCCUCCAGCAAACAGGUUGGGUGCGUGUGAGGGAGAUCUGGUUUGAAAAGUAGGAUUUUACAUCUUCCAUAUGCAGUUCCACAACAGCUUAUGUGGUUCCCUGUGAAAUAUUAGCAUGUACUUGGCUUUUGAUGAGCAAGUUUAACAGAAAUUGUCACAAAUUCGUAAUGUUUAUAUUAGUUCCACUAGGAUACACUAGAAGCGUGCUGACAGAAGGUUCUGCAAGGCUGCCUGGCACAUUUUUGAAAACAGUUUUAAGGCUUACAGCCUUAUUUUGAGCACUGACCAAGGCACAGCUUGCUUGAAAUAUGUACUAUGGAAAGUAGUUUAAGAAAACGUUAAGGGCUUCUGUGGGUUUAGAUGGAUUUUAAUCUUUGAAUCAG